CUGGGAUUACCUCAGUAACGGCGAGUGAAGCGGUAAAAGCUCAAAUUUGAAAUCUGACUUCGGUCCGAGUUGUAAUUUGCAGAGGAUGUUUUGGGCACCGAAUCAAUUUAAAUUUCUUGGAACAGAAUGUCAAAGAGGGUGAGAGUCCCGUCUUGAAUUGAUUUAGGACCCGUGUAAAACUCCUUCAAUGAGUCGAGUUGUUUGGGAAUGCAGCUCUAAAUGGGUGGUAAAUUUCAUCUAAAGCUAAAUAUUGGCCAGAGACCGAUAGCGCACAAGUAGAGUGAUCGAAAGAUGAAAAGAACUUUGAAAAGAGAGUUAAAUAGUACGUGAAAUUGUUGAAAGGGAAGCGUUUAUAACCAGACGUGGGUUGUCAGGUUCCCCCUACCUUUUGGUGGGGUUAUUCCUGUCGAUUCAGGCCAACAUCAGUUUUGGUGGUGAGUUAAAGGCUUUGAGAAUGUAUCUACUUCGGUCGACUUAUAGCUCAGAGUGUCAUGUCACCUACCGGGACUGAGGCAUGCGUUUACACGGAUGUUGGCGUAAUGGUUGUCAACGACCCGUCU
rnacentral:rRNA from 1 species